rnacentral:rRNA from 1 species
CCUACGGGGUGCAGCAGUGAGGAAUAUUGGUCAAUGGACGAGAGUCUGAACCAGCCAAGUAGCGUGAAGGAUGACUGCCCUAUGGGUUGUAAACUUCUUUUAUAUGGGAAUAAAAUGUUCCACGUGUGGGAUUUUGUAUGUACCAUAUGAAUAAGGAUCGGCUAACUCCGUGCCAGCAGCCGCGGUAAUACGGAGGAUCCGAGCGUUAUCCGGUUUUAUUGGGUUUAAAGGGAGCGUAGGUGGAUUGUUAAGUCAGUUGUGAAAGUUUGCGGCUCAACCGUAAAAUUGCAGUUGAAACUGGCAGUCUUGAGUACAGUAGAGGUGGGCGGAAUUCGUGGUGUAGCGGUGAAAUGCUUAGAUAUCACGAAGAACUCCGAUUGCGAAGGCAGUUCACUGGACUGCAACUGACACUGAGGCUCGAAAGUGUGGGUAUCAAACAGGAUUAGAUACCCUUGUAGUC